ACGACCAUACCCACUGGAAAACUCGGGAUCCCGUCCGCUCUCCCAUAGAUAAGCCAGUGAGGGCCGGAUUAGUAGUUGGGUCGGUGACGACCAGCGAACACCUGGUGUUGUAUGUU
rnacentral:rRNA from 1 species